CUUGUCAUGCCACAGGUCCCUUGGCAUCUUGCCAAAACCCUGUUCAAAGCCCCUGUGACAUCUGUGUAUCUCAUACUGUGUUAACAAUGGGGUGAGGAUGGUGUAAUAGUCAGAGAAAACCUUGUCUUUGGUUGGAGUGUGGUAAGAUUGGGGGAGUAUAUGUGUAAAGGGAAGCCCUGUAAAAAAGGGCACCACCAUUAUGUGUGAUGAGCAGGUGCCAAAGGCCUUCUUCUUCCUUUCUGCUGACCUCAUAUGGCCAACCUCAGCAUGGUGGGAGCCUCACAGAAGAAGUGGUUGAUCUUGUGGGAAGCACAAAAUGGGAGACUCAUGGUGAUAUGGGUGAGGAGAAAGCUGUCAAAAGUACCACCAAACCAAGAGCUGGCCAAGAUCAUCCAACAGACGUGGUGACUCAAAAGGACGGGAUAGCAGCGGGGGUUGCAGGUGGCCACAUAGCUGUUUUGAAGGCUUUACAAGAAGGGACUUCCAUCCAGAGUCUCAGCUGAAAACCUAACAUCGGUAGAAGUAAAGUUUUGCCUCCUCUACAGAGACAAAAGUGCAAUUUAGAGGUAAAGAAUAAGAGUUUUCUUUACAAUUCACAAUUUUUAGACUAGCUGGUUAAAAAGCUUAAAUAAAAGGAAUAAAUCCAUUUCUAAAAUAAAACUU
rnacentral:lncRNA from 1 species